GACGAACGCUGGCGGCGUGCCUAAUACAUGCAAGUAGGACGCAGUUGCGAACGGGUGAGUAACGCGUAGGUAACUACCUAUUAGAGGGGGAUAACUAUUGGACACGAUAGCUAAUACCGCAUACUAGUAGAUGGACCUGCGGUGUAUUUGCUAGUAGGUAGGGUAAUGGCCUACCUAGGCAACGAUACAUAGCCGACCUGGGAGGUGGAUUGGGCAAACGGGGACUGAGACAAGGCCCAGACCCCUACGGGAGGCAGGAGGAGGGAAUCUGCGGCAAUGGGGGGAACCCUGACCGAGCAACGGCGGGUGAGUGAAGAAGGUUUUCGGAUCGUAAAGCUCUGUUGUUAAGGAAGCGGUACUUAACCAGAAAGGGACGGCUAACUACGUGCCAGCAGCCGCGGUAAUUC
rnacentral:rRNA from 1 species